rnacentral:rRNA from 1 species
CGGGUGGUAAUGCCGGAUGUUCCACAUGAUCGCAUGUGAUUGUGGGAAAGAUUUCAUCGGCGUGGGAUGGGGUCGCGUCCUAUCAGCUUGUUGGUGAGGUAACGGCUCACCAAGGCUUCGACGGGUAGCCGGCCUGAGAGGGCGACCGGCCACAUUGGGACUGAGAUACGGCCCAGACUCCUACGGGAGGCAGCAGUGGGGAAUAUUGCACAAUGGGCGCAAGCCUGAUGCAGCGACGCCGCGUGAGGGAUGGAGGCCUUCGGGUUGUAAACCUCUUUUGUUUGGGAGCAAGCCUUCGGGUGAGUGUACCUUUCGAAUAAGCGCCGGCUAACUACGUGCCAGCAGCCGCGGUAAUACGUAGGGCGCAAGCGUUAUCCGGAUUUAUUGGGCGUAAAGGGCUCGUAGGCGGCUCGUCGCGUCCGGUGUGAAAGUCCAUCGCUUAACGGUGGAUCUGCGCCGGGUACGGGCGGGCUGGAGUGCGGUAGGGGAGACUGGAAUUCCCGGUGUAACGGUGGAAUGUGUAGAUAUCGGAAA